GGCAAUUCUCUGAUCUUCCACUUUCUUAGUUCUGAUUUUGAAAUAUACAGAUCUAUCAGUUCUAGCUUUUGGUGGGGAGAUGUUAUAGCAGAGAUAAUAUGAUCUUUCCAGAAUACUGCAAUAGGUAGACUGCUGUGGAAUAAUUCUUUUGUACACUGUAAAGAUUUGUCACUCCAGUUGGUUUAAUAAGAACUGACAGGCCUUUGCUCAUCACUCCUCCUUUUCUGCAACUGGAUUCCAGGAGUUCGACUCAGGGCUUAGCUGUGAAUCUCUGCUUCUGCUUCAAUCAGCUACUGGAUGAAGGCUCUAGGAUGGUAUAUAAGAGAGAAAUAUGCCUCUAUGAUGUCCACAAAGGUUCAAAGACGUUAGGAGAAGGUGGUCACGGUUAAUUAAUGAAGCAUCAAGAGGAUUGCUACCAGCCUCCAGCCCUGCUUAUGAUGCCUCCAAGAAAUGGCACCUGCAGUGAAGGGAUUCAGGGAGAAUCCUGAAAGACCUAGUUCAGUUUUGAAGUGCACAGUCAAGCUUCCCCUGGACAAGCCAGAAGACAGACUGGGAGCUAGUGAACCUGACCACAGCAGCUCAGCACCAUGAAUCUUUGGCAGAAGAUGUUUUGCCUCAUGGGGUUUUCCAGUGGGCAUCUAAGUUUCUGAAAACCAGAUAUGUGUUAUAAUACAUAAGGUAAAUGUUAUCUGUUUCCUACAUACCAACCUGAUGUAUUAGCCGUUACCAUAAUGGCACUUUUUGAAUUAAGCAUUUGAGAGGACAAUAGGAAGCUUUUGUCCUGAGUAUAUUAAAAUUUGUUUGCCAUCA